GAGUCCCGCCUGCCCUGUGACUGAGAGUUUAACGGCCGCGGUAUUUUGACCGUGCGAAGGUAGCGUAAUCACUUGUCUUUUAAAUGGAGACCAGUAUGAAUGGCAUAACGAGGGCUAAGCUGUCUCCUUUUUCCAGUCAAUGAAAUUGAUCUAUCCGUGCAGAAGCGGAUAUAAGUACAUAAGACGAGAAGACCCUAUGGAGCUUUAGAUACCAGAAUAGCCCACGUUAAAGACCCUUAAUUAUGAGGAAAAAACCAAAUGGUCACUAUUCUCAUAUCUUUGGUUGGGGCGACCGCGGAGAAACAGAAAACCCCCACGUGGAACAAGCCAUCCCUUUAAAGCCAGAGCCACAGCUCUAACAAACAGAAAAUCUGACCAACAAGAUCCGGCAAAGCCGAUCAACGGACCCAGUUACCCUAGGGAUAACAGCGCAAUCCCCUUUUAGAGCCCAUAUCGACAAGGGGGUUUACGACCUCGAUGUUGGAUCAGGACUUCCUAAUGGUGCAGCCGCUAUUAAGGGUUCGUUUGUUCAACGAUUAAAGUCCUACGUGAU
rnacentral:rRNA from 1 species